GGAAUAUUGGUCAAUGGACGAGAGUCUGAACCAGCCAAGUAGCGUGAAGGAUGACUGCCCUAUGGGUUGUAAACUUCUUUUAUAUGGGAAUAAAACAGGGUAUGCAUACCCUCUUGUAUGUACCAUAUGAAUAAGGAUCGGCUAACUCCGUGCCAGCAGCCGCGGUAAUACGGAGGAUCCGAGCGUUAUCCGGAUUUAUUGGGUUUAAAGGGAGCGUAGGUGGAUUGUUAAGUCAGCGGUCAAAUACGGGGGCUCAACCUGCGUCCGCCGUUGAAACUGGCGUUCUUGAGUGGGCGAGAAGUACGCGGAAUGCGUGGUGUAGCGGUGAAAUGCAUAGAUAUCACGCAGAACCCCGAUUGCGAAGGCAGCGUACCGGCGCCCUACUGACGCUGAAGCACGAAAGCGUGGGUAUCGAACAG
rnacentral:rRNA from 1 species